GUUAACUUGCCGUCAGCCUUUUCUUUGACCUCUUCUUUCUGUUCAUGUGUAUUUGCUGUCUCUUAGCCCAGACUUCCCGUGUCCUUUCCACCGGGCCUUUGAGAGGUCACAGGGUCUUGAUGCUGUGGUCUUCAUCUGCAGGUGUCUGACUUCCAGCAACUGCUGGCCUGUGCCAGGGUGCAAGCUGAGCACUGGAGUGGAGUUUUCCUGUGGAGAGGAGCCAUGCCUAGAGUGGGAUGGGCCAUUGUUCAUCUUCUGGCCCCUGUUGUCUGCAUGUAACUUAAUACCACAACCAGGCAUAGGGGAAAGAUUGGAGGAAAGAUGAGUGAGAGCAUCAACUUCUCUCACAACCUAGGCCAGUGUGUGGUGAUGCCAGGCAUGCCCUUCCCCAGCAUCAGGUCUCCAGAGCUGCAGAAGACGACGGCCGACUUGGAUCACACUCUUGUGAGUGUCCCCAGUGUUGCAGAGGCAGGGCCAUCAGGCACCAAAGGGAUUCUGCCAGCAUAGUGCUCCUGGACCAGUGAUACACCCGGCACCCUGUCCUGGACACGCUGUUGGCCUGGAUCUGAGCCCUGGUGGAGGUCAAAGCCACCUUUGGUUCUGCCAUUGCUGCUGUGUGGAAGUUCACUCCUGCCUUUUCCUUUCCCUAGAGCCUCCACCACCCCGAGAUCACAUUUCUCACUGCCUUUUGUCUGCCCAGUUUCACCAGAAGUAGGCCUCUUCCUGACAGGCAGCUGCACCACUGCCUGGCGCUGUGCCCUUCCUUUGCUCUGCCCGCUGGAGACGGUGUUUGUCAUGGGCCUGGUCUGCAGGGAUCCUGCUACAAAGGUGAAACCCAGGAGAGUGUGGAGUCCAGAGUGUUGCCAGGACCCAGGCACAGGCAUUAGUGCCCGUUGGAGAAAACAGGGGAAUCCCGAAGAAAUGGUGGGUCCUGGCCAUCCGUGAGAUCUUCCCAGGGCAGCUCCCCUCUGUGGAAUCCAAUCUGUCUUCCAUCCUGCGUGGCCGAGGGCCAGGCUUCUCACUGGGCCUCUGCAGGAGGCUGCCAUUUGUCCUGCCCACCUUCUUAGAAGCGAGACGGAGCAGACCCAUCUGCUACUGCCCUUUCUAUAAUAACUAAAGUUAGCUGCCCUGGACUAUUCACCCCCUAGUCUCAAUUUAAGAAGAUCCCCAUGGCCACAGGGCCCCUGCCUGGGGGCUUGUCACCUCCCCCACCUUCUUCCUGAGUCAUUCCUGCAGCCUUGCUCCCUAACCUGCCCCACAGCCUUGCCUGGAUUUCUAUCUCCCUGGCUUGGUGCCAGUUCCUCCAAGUCGAUGGCACCUCCCUCCCUCUCAACCACUUGAGCAAACUCCAAGACAUCUUCUACCCCAACACCAGCAAUUGUGCCAAGGGCCAUUAGGCUCUCAGCAUGACUAUUUUUAGAGACCCCGUGUCUGUCACUGAAACCUUUUUUGUGGGAGACUAUUCCUCCCAUCUGCAACAGCUGCCCCUGCUGACUGCCCUUCUCUCCUCCCUCUCAUCCCAGAGAAACAGGUCAGCUGGGAGCUUCUGCCCCCACUGCCUAGGGACCAACAGGGGCAGGAGGCAGUCACUGACCCCGAGACGUUUGCAUCCUGCACAGCUAGAGAUCCUUUAUUAAAAGCACACUGUUGGUUUCUG
ensembl:lncRNA DDX11L2 DEAD/H-box helicase 11 like 2 (pseudogene)